UUUGCCCUCUAGUUGCUUUUUGCUGUCCCUAAUCAAAACCUUCCUAGCCCUCCUCAUCCCGUGUUAAGAAGAGCAGAACAAAAUAAAGUAAGGCGGGAAACUGAAAAAGUGAUAAAUGUGUGAGAUCCAAGUGUGUCAAUGGAGAUGGAGGAGCCAUGGGAAGCCCUAGACUUGGACGAAACCGACAUCUCUUCUUCUACCUCUAUUCUCCGUCGCUGCACCCAACAGCCUUCUAUUUCUUCUCAAAGCCCGCAGCCCUCUCUUCCUCCACCAACACAAUCAACCACCACUGUCUCUCGUCGCCGCCUCAUUCCUGGCCCUGCUGCUGCCAUCCAAGCUGCUAUGCAUCGAAUUGAACAAUCCAAUCUUAACCAGAAUCACUUUUCUCAGAUUUCUACUCAACGGUACAUUCAAAGGGUUCAGCAAGAUGCGGACGAAGAAUUUUCGCGUAAUCCAUGGCUUUUUGCCCUUGAUUUUCUGCGCCGUCAAUCUGUGCUUAACACUACUCCUCUAAGUGCUAUCAACAAGUAUGCGAAUGCUGAAAGAUUUGACAAGGUUGUUGCAAUAGUGAAAUCAUGUACUCCAAAUGGUCUUGGUGACAUGAUUGUUACUCUUAAGGAUCCAAGUGAUACAAUUGGUGCUAGUGUUCAUGGCAAAGUCUUCAGCGUGGGAGAUUUUGGAAAUUUUAUUAGUGUUGGGACGAUUUUGAUACUUCGAAAGGUUGUUGCCUUUUCCUCUUCAUGCACAUCUUCUUAUCUUAAUAUAACACGAAGCAAUAUUGAGAAGGUAAUUUCUGUUGACUGUGAAGUCAAAGAUUUUCCUGUGGCAAAUCCAGACAAUACUCAAGUUUUCAGCAAAACCUCAGUAAUACCAGAGGGGACUUCUGCCCUUGUAUCUAGAAGAGCUGAAAGAGUUGUCGCAGAUGUGCAUCAUUUGAAAGGAAAAGCAGUAAUGCAAGAGCUUACACUAAAGACAAACUACAACCAGCCCAAGAUUCUUAGUGGAAGCACACAGAUUGAUAAUGGAUCUCAUAAAACUUUGAAGGAGCCCAUUCAAAUUGAUCCAGUUUGUUCUGAUCCCAGUAUUUGGAAGGGAGACCAUUCAGGUAGAAUCAGCCAACCAUACUCUUAUUCAUUGGAAGGUGUGGUUACUAACUUUCAGGAUUUUAAAAACAAUGAGUGUAGACAGGCCGGAGAAUUCAGUUCUGCCCCUUACAUAUUUGAGAGCCAGGGUAAUCCAAUAGUGCAGGCAAAUGGUACUCACUUUGAAAGUCAUCUGCUUGAAAAUAAUCUUGAUAUGAGUGCAAGUGAGAAGCUCAAGAAGAUUGUCGAUAUCGGAAAAUGCUCAAGGAUGCUUAAGAAUGUUGACGAUGUUGACAUCUGUGGUGUAGAUGACUAUCAGAAGCAACAUCCUAGAAAAGUUGGUUGUGUUUCCAGCAUCAUUGAGAAUCUAACCAAGCGAGAUUUUUCUGAAAUAAAUGGCAGUCUAAAGUCAGUAUGUCAGAUAGAAAAUGGGGUUAGUUCGAAAGUGAAUGUGGAACAAAGUUGUGAAGAAGCUAGAAGAACAAUUGGAAUCAAGAAGCCAAGGCUGAAACUAGUAUCUAGAACUGCAGUGCAGGAAUGGACAGAUGAACAGCUUUGCAUACUUGACAUGGAUGAGUACUGAAUAUAGUGUGGCACUUUCUACAAGCACAUUAACAGCUGGAGACCAUACAUGAACUCAUAUUUGUAGACUGUUCCUAGAACUAAUAAUCACAUGCUUGGUGAUUCGUUUUCUGCUUGCUGGAUGCUACCCUGAAACUGCACCUUUUUGAUGGUUUUGAAGAACCGAGUCAUUGUUGGUGAAAUGGCUUGUAUAAAAGACUACAUGUGGAGUACUGCCCAAGCUGGGACAUGUUGGUAAAUGACUCUUCUGUCUUUGAACAUGUAUAUAGUUUAUGAUUUGUUAAUUUGUUGUUUUUGUGAGAAUAGUCCAUAACAAAUAUAAGGGACCGGAGGUUACAGAUUAAGGCAGUAGUGUUGUGUAUAGUUCAGCGAGAACAAUGAACACGGACAAUGAGGAAAGUAAAUGCAGAUCCAAGGGUGCGCAUAUUGCCCGGCUAAAAGCUGAAGGCGGUUUGUGUAGUUCAAUGGAAUUGAUGUCUGCCUUACUCAUCUGAGUCCCUUGCCUUGACUAUCUGCACUUCAACACUUGCCUUGCACUCUUCUGCCACUUGCUAUCGAUGUCGAUAAACAAUUGGUUUGAUAAACAUACUUUUGAAACCAUAGUGUAAAAACAAGGCCUUAUCAUAUCACAUGAGCUAUGUUGUAAAGAUUUUCAAAAUAAACGAAUUGAUAUUCCCUUUUUGUAAAGGUGUAAAAACACGCUUUAGGCCGUAUCAUUGGAUAUCUUUUGGUGUCGACCGAUAUUUAAGGGUUACAAUAACCGCGUCACUCCCGUUGCAGCAUCACUGUUCCAUUACCGCAAUCGUAACCGUUGCCGUAUUUUAAUACUAUGGCUAAAAUUUAUAACUAAUUAUAUUCCAAUAUGCAAGCAAAUUAAGCAAAUGAAACUAACUCUUCAUU